GAGUUUUCCUUUCUAGGUUUUCCUCUUAGUUAUUUGUCUCAUAUCACUGUAUGUUAUUAAUAAAUUAUAAAUGUUUGUAUCUAAACCAAAAAGGGGUUGCUGGGCAUCGUUAUGCGUAUGUAUUUGAAUUCGUUCAUACUGCUGAUUUAGUUUUAUAGAAAAGUCUUUCUAUUCAUAUUGUUCUUUAGUGAUAGCCUUUUAUGUUCUGUAUUUCGCAUGUGACAUAACAAUACCAUAUUCAUUCCUAUUCUUGGAAAGGCACUUAACUUUAGGAGACUUGGAUGCUGCUCUAUUGCAAAGAGAAGAGUCGAAGCAUGUACUGCAUAUAUAUGUAUAUGUAUGGAUGCAUGUCUGUUGUUAAAUGAAUAAGCAUGUUGGUAAAUGGUUUUAUGUAGUUUAAUUUAUACAUAUUACUUGAAUGGUUUAGAAGGCAAAAGACUUUUGAAUAAGCACUAUACAUGUUUGCUAUAUAAGAAACUAUUUUGUACAGCAUUAUAAUCAACCAAAUGACUUUUGAAUUGAGUACCGUGGAACUGAUGAGUUUUAAGUGUGUUGAUUAGUAUUAAAGUUCACAUAAGGCAUUUGGUAAUUUUCUUAUACUUGUGAAUAGGAGCUUAUCACAGUUGUGGUUUCUUGUGUUAAUAUAUCGGAGCAAUGCUUUGGAAUCCAGGUAGGGGAAAUACGGCAGACCUUUACAGAUAUUGAUUCUAUUAAAUUUCGUGAAGUACUAUAUUUGUGCUGGUUGAUUAAUGUGGUUGGACAUUGUUUGGAUGAUUGCUUCAGUUGGUUGUUUACUUGUUAGUACUACUGGAAUGUUAUUCAUUGAGAUAUAUAUUGUGACAUGGAGAUAUAUUGUGACAUGUGAAAGAUGUAAUAACGUUGCUUGUGCAUCACUCAUGUGUCAGAAGUGGUUGGAACUUUGUAGGUGAGAAAGGAAUUUGGAAAGAGGGUAAUGGAAAUGAUCUUUUGUGUAGUUGAGUCAAACUCUUAGCAGGUACCAGGUCUCAGGUGAGCCCACAGUGCACAGAUUCUUUAAGGGUAAUUCGGGACUGGCGACGAAGAGUUUGAGCAAGAUGACUAACAAAAGGGGAAAUUGGGAUGAUUGAGUUACAGGGGGUUAAUUUGUAUAUUAAAACAUUCGAACCACCACUGCAGAGGUAAAAUGCACGGUAUGGGACGUGCAGGUCCGCGUGUUUUAUUACAUGAAUUAACGGGUAGAGAUGAAGAGUAUUGUAUCGCACUCAUGCAUUGUUGAUGAUAAUAAUUUGGUACUUGAUUACAUGAUUUUAUGACACUUAAUUUAAUAUUGUCAAUUUACUGUGAUAAGGUUAUGUCCCUACUGAGCUGUUGAAGCUCACCCCUCUAUUGUUAUGCAGGUUUACGAACUAAACAAUCUAAGAGGGUAGACGGGAUGAGAUCGGAUUAAGUGUGAGGAUAGAAUUUUGUAUUUCUUUAUUUUAGCCUUGUAAAGAAUUAUUGAGUUAUUUUAAAUAAGAAGAAUUUUAUUUUUCACUCCGUUAUUUCAGUUUUAUUUUAAUUAGUUAGCUUUUAUCUCACGUUUCGGAUUCGGAGUUAUUUUUCCUAUUGACCCCGGGUUCGGGGCGUGACAGAAUGGUAUCAGAGCAUAGGGAUUAGACACCCUUGGGAAAGUUGUGUUACCAAUUAAAUAGUCAGUUGAACUAAAAGAGCUAGAGCAUUUCUGUUUUGUGGUAUUAGUUUUGUCAAGUCUUUUGUUUGGACUUGAAUUCAUUUGACUGAGAGACUAGUAGGUCUAGUUAGGGGGUAGUAAUAUGGGUUGUUAGGUCUUAACGUAGUUGGAAGUAAAGUGUCAUUGUUUGCUUUACUGCUGUGAUAUGUUGAAAUUUUAUUUGGCUUAUGUGGUACAUAUUACUUGUGUUGUGACUACUCAGUAGAAGUGGAAGAUCCGUAUUAAAAAAAAAAAAAAUAUUCUUUAAUUGGUUAGUGUUUUCUUCACCAGUGUGUCCAACUAUACUAUAGCUUUCCUAACUGCCGAGUGAUAGACGUUUAGAAUGGAAUUGAAAUGUUGAGAUGAUUGUAAAAGCAAAAGCUGGCAAUCUGCGUGAUAUUUUACCUACUUAAGUAGUUGACCCCUGCUGCAUUCAAAUGAGUCAGUAAGCUAUCUGUUAGCUUGAGUUCGUGCUAAUCAAGUUGGAAGCUAGAAUGGGUUUGCCGCAAGGUGGAAUAGGUGUCACACCACUAAACCCAAAGCGAUUUGGCUUUACACGUUGCUCAUCUUAUUCGGUUCUGGUAAGUCUAUCCAUUUCACUCUCGCAUUUCCCCUAGUAUAAAUAAAGACCAGGGUUUCAACUGCAUACUAAACUCAGAAACAAAGAGAGAGGUUUCAUCGAAAUCUAUGGCAUCUAAAUCAUGAAACAAUCAUGAAUACAUAUGUCGUAAGCCUGUAGCUCACAAAGCUUUGGAGCUUAUCACAGUUGUGGUUUCUUGUGUUAAUAUAUCGGAGCAAUGCUUUGGAAUCCAGGUAGGGGAAAUACGGCAGACCUUUACAGAUAUUGAUUCUAUUAAAUUUCAUGAAGUACUAUAUUUGUGCUGGUUGAUUAAUGUGGUUGGACAUUGUUUGGAUGAUUGCUUCAGUUGGUUGUUUACUUGUUAGUACUACUGGAAUGUUAUUCGUUGAGAUAUAUAUUGUGACAUGGAGAUAUAUUGUGACAUGUGAAAAAUGUAAUAACGUUGCUUGUGCAUCACUCAUGUGUCAGAAGUGGUUGGAACUUUGUAGGUGAGAAAGGAAUUUGGAAAGAGGGUAAUGGAAAUGAUCUUUUGUGUAGUUGAGUCAAACUCUUAGCAGGUACCAGGUCUCAGGUGAGCCCACAGUGCACAGAUUCUUUAAGGGUAAUUCGGGACUGGCGACGAAGAGUUUGAGCAAGAUGACUAACAAAAGGGGAAAUUGGGAUGAUUGAGUUACAGGGGGUUAAUUUGUAUAUUAAAACAUUCGAACCACCACUGCAGAGGUAAAAUGCACGGUAUGGGACGUGCAGGUUCGCGUGUUUUAUUACAUGAAUUAACGGGUAGAGAUGAAGAGUAUUGUAUCGCACUCAUGCAUUGUUGAUGAUAAUAAUUUGGUACUUGAUUACAUGAUUUUAUGACACUUAAUUUAAUAUUGUCAAUUUACUGUGAUAAGGUUAUGUCCCUACUGAGCUGUUGAAGCUCACCCCUCUAUUGUUAUGCAGGUUUACGAACUAAACAAUCUAAGAGGGUAGACGGGAUGAGAUCGGAUUAAGUGUGAGGAUAGAAUUUUGUAUUUCUUUAUUUUAGCCUUGUAAAGAAUUAUUGAGUUAUUUUAAAUAAGAAGAAUUUUAUUUUUCA